CAGCCCUAAACGAUGCGCGUUAGGUGUAUCGGUGACCACGAGUCACCGAGGUGCCGAAGGGAAACCGUGAAACGUGCCGCCUGGGAAGUACGGUCGCAAGGCUGAAACUUAAAGGAAUUGGCGGGGGGAGGCACCACCAACGGGUGGAGCCUGCGGUUUAAUUGGACUCAACGCCGGGAAGCUCACCGGAUAAGACAGCGGAACGAUUGCCGGGCUGAAGACCCUGCAUGACCAGCUGAGAGGAGGUGCAUGGCGUAGUCGUGU
rnacentral:rRNA from 1 species